rnacentral:rRNA from 1 species
GCUGGAAUUGCUAGUAAUGGCAGGUCAGCAUACUGCCGUGAAUACGUUCCCGGGCCCUUGUACACACCGCCCGUCACACCAUGAGAGUUGGAAAUACCCGAAGCCUGUGAGCUAACUUAAAGAGGCAGCAGUCGAAGGUAGAGCCAAUGAUUGGGGUGAAGUCGUAACAAGGUAUC